UAAUAGGCAUGGAUAAUAGGGUAUAUGUGUUUUGUGUAUUGUGUAGGUAACUUUGUUUAUCUAUCUGCCUUUUUAUUUUUCAAGUUGUCUCUGGCGUAUGUUCAAAGUCUCUGGCUAACUUGUGAAAAUAACUUAAAAGAAUAAUGAAAUAAUUGACCAUUUCCAUAUAAAUACUUUUCUAUCUUCGCACUUCUUCGUUGUGCAAGAAAGUUGAAACCAUUUACUUUAUGGUAGGGUAGAAACUAGCUCCAAGGCAAUCUAAAACCUAGAAAGAAGAAAGGCUAGACAAAGAAAGCUGAAGGAGACUGUUUAUAGUGGUCGAGAGCUGAAAAUAACAACUGCAAUUUUUGAGGAUAAUUCUAGUGUAUAUCUACGCCUAUUUUCGACUUGCAAAUUGCUGUGUUUGUCUCCCAGAUUCGCUAAAAGCAAACGAACUUGAAAGUACUCCACCAGCACUAGGAGCUUAGGUUGUAAAACUUAUUGGUCUAUGAAAUACUUCUCUAUAUGGCGGAAGUACAGAAAAGUCUGCAGGAUAUACUAAAUAAAACUGAGGGGCUCCAAUGUAUAUUGUUUACUGACAGAGAUGGGGUACCAUUAUUAAAGGUCAAAACAGAGAAGUUUUUAGAUCAUGUAAUAAAACCUAGUUUCAUUUCAACAUUUUGUUUGGCUAUCGAUCAAGGUAGCAAACUAGGAUUAGGAAAAACAACAAACUUAAUAUGUUCAUAUUCACAACACUUGAUCAUGCAAAUAAAUAAACUGCCACUCAUUGUGACAUUUGUGGCAAAUGAAAAUUGUAACAUUGGUCAAAUAUUGGCAUUAGAGAAACAAUUGGAUCCUAUUAUAAAUUCUUUAACAGCAGCAGUAACAGAAAUAUGAGCAACACUGUCUAUAAUAACCAAAUAUUGAAUUUGAUAUACUUGUUAUAAUUAUAUUUAAGAAAUAUGGUUUGGUUUUGUUGAACUAAUUUUAUUGGUAUAUAACCAAAAUAAAGAUUUUUUUACUUA